GCCAUGGUGGCACGAUGGCUAAGUGCUUUGCUGCUAACCCAAAGAUUGGUGGUUCAAACUCACCCAAUGGCU
rnacentral:tRNA from 1 species